rnacentral:rRNA from 1 species
GGAGUCUGGGCCGUGUCUCAGUCCCAAUGUGGCCGGUCAUCCUCUCAGAUCGGCUACCGAUCGUCGCCUUGGUGAGCCGUUACCUCCCCAACUAGCUAAUCGGACGCAGACCCAUCAUAAGGCGAUAGCUUAUAAAUAGUGGCCAUCUUUAACUAAUCCCUCAUGCGAGGUAUUAGCAACAUUCGGUAUUAGCAGCUCUUUCGAACUGUUGUCCCCAUCCUUAUGGCAGGUUAUCUACGCGUUACUCACCCGUUUGCCACUAGGUUUUAAAAAGCAAGCUCUUUAAAACCCCGUUCGACUUGCAUGUGUUAAGCACGCCGCCAGCGUUCGUC